rnacentral:rRNA from 1 species
UACGUAGGGGGCAAGCGUUGUCCGGAAUCAUUGGGCGUAAAGCGCGUGUAGGCGGCUCGGUAAGUCCGCUCUGAAAGUCCAGGGCUCAACCCUGGGAUGCGGGUGGAUACUGUCGGGCUCGAGUCCGGAAGAGGCGAGUGGAAUUCCUGGUGUAGCGGUGAAAUGCGCAGAUAUCAGGAGGAACACCAAUUGCGAAGGCAGCUCGCUGGGACGUUACUGACGCUGAGACGCGAAAGCGUGGGGAGCAAACAGG